GGGUUGUGAGGUUAAGCGACUAAGCGUACACGGUGGAUGCCCUGGCAGUCAGAGGCGAUGAAGGACGUGCUAAUCUGCGAUAAGCGUCGGUAAGGUGAUAUGAACCGUUAUAACCGGCGAUUUCCGAAUGGGGAAACCCAGUGUGAUUCGUCACACUAUCAUUAACUGAAUCCAUAGGUUAAUGAGGCGAACCGGGGGAACUGAAACAUCUAAGUACCCCGAGGAAAAGAAAUCAACCGAGAUUCCCCCAGUAGCGGCGAGCGAACGGGGAGCAGCCCAGAGCCUGAAUCAGUGUGUGUGUUAGUGGAAGCGUCUGGAAAGGCGUGCGAUACAGGGUGACAGCCCCGUACACAAAAAUGCACAUGCUGUGAGCUCGAUGAGUAGGGCGGGACACGUGGUAUCCUGUCUGAAUAUGGGGGGACCAUCCUCCAAGGCUAAAUACUCCUGACUGACCGAUAGUGAACCAGUACCGUGAGGGAAAGGCGAAAAGAACCCCGGCGAGGGGAGUGAAAAAGAACCUGAAACCGUGUACGUACAAGCAGUGGGAGCACAGAGCAAUCUGUGUGACUGCGUACCUUUUGUAUAAUGGGUCAGCGACUUAUAUUCUGUAGCAAGGUUAACCGAAUAGGGGAGCCGAAGGGAAACCGAGUCUUAACUGGGCGUUAAGUUGCAGGGUAUAGACCCGAAACCCGGUGAUCUAGCCAUGGGCAGGUUGAAGGUUGGGUAACACUAACUGGAGGACCGAACCGACUAAUGUUGAAAAAUUAGCGGAUGACUUGUGGCUGGGGGUGAAAGGCCAAUCAAACCGGGAGAUAGCUGGUUCUCCCCGAAAGCUAUUUAGGUAGCGCCUCGUGAAUUCAUCUCCGGGGGUAGAGCACUGUUUCGGCAAGGGGGUCAUCCCGACUUACCAACCCGAUGCAAACUGCGAAUACCGGAGAAUGUUAUCACGGGAGACACACGGCGGGUGCUAACGUCCGUCGUGAAGAGGGAAACAACCCAGACCGCCAGCUAAGGUCCCAAAGUCAUGGUUAAGUGGGAAACGAUGUGGGAAGGCCCAGACAGCCAGGAUGUUGGCUUAGAAGCAGCCAUCAUUUAAAGAAAGCGUAAUAGCUCACUGGUCGAGUCGGCCUGCGCGGAAGAUGUAACGGGGCUAAACCAUGCACCGAAGCUGCGGCAGCGACNNNNNNNNNNNNNNNNNNNNNNNNNNNNNNNNNNNNNNNNNNNNNNNNNNNNNNNNNNNNNNNNNNNNNNNNNNNNNNNNNNNNNNNNNNNNNNNNNNNNAUGCUGGAGGUAUCAGAAGUGCGAAUGCUGACAUAAGUAACGAUAAAGCGGGUGAAAAGCCCGCUCGCCGGAAGACCAAGGGUUCCUGUCCAACGUUAAUCGGGGCAGGGUGAGUCGACCCCUAAGGCGAGGCCGAAAGGCGUAGUCGAUGGGAAACAGGUUAAUAUUCCUGUACUUGGUGUUACUGCGAAGGGGGGACGGAGAAGGCUAUGUUGGCCGGGCGACGGUUGUCCCGGUUUAAGCGUGUAGGCUGGUUUUCCAGGCAAAUCCGGAAAACUAAGGCUGAGGCGUGAUGACGAGGCACUACGGUGCUGAAGCAACAAAUGCCCUGCUUCCAGGAAAAGCCUCUAAGCAUCAGGUAACAUCAAAUCGUACCCCAAACCGACACAGGUGGUCAGGUAGAGAAUACCAAGGCGCUUGAGAGAACUCGGGUGAAGGAACUAGGCAAAAUGGUGCCGUAACUUCGGGAGAAGGCACGCUGAUAUGUAGGUGAAGUCCCUCGCGGAUGGAGCUGAAAUCAGUCGAAGAUACCAGCUGGCUGCAACUGUUUAUUAAAAACACAGCACUGUGCAAACACGAAAGUGGACGUAUACGGUGUGACGCCUGCCCGGUGCCGGAAGGUUAAUUGAUGGGGUUAGCGCAAGCGAAGCUCUUGAUCGAAGCCCCGGUAAACGGCGGCCGUAACUAUAACGGUCCUAAGGUAGCGAAAUUCCUUGUCGGGUAAGUUCCGACCUGCACGAAUGGCGUAAUGAUGGCCAGGCUGUCUCCACCCGAGACUCAGUGAAAUUGAACUCGCUGUGAAGAUGCAGUGUACCCGCGGCAAGACGGAAAGACCCCGUGAACCUUUACUAUAGCUUGACACUGAACAUUGAGCCUUGAUGUGUAGGAUAGGUGGGAGGCUUUGAAGUGUGGACGCCAGUCUGCAUGGAGCCGACCUUGAAAUACCACCCUUUAAUGUUUGAUGUUCUAACGUUGACCCGUGAUCCGGGUUGCGGACAGUGUCUGGUGGGUAGUUUGACUGGGGCGGUCUCCUCCUAAAGAGUAACGGAGGAGCACGAAGGUUGGCUAAUCCUGGUCGGACAUCAGGAGGUUAGUGCAAUGGCAUAAGCCAGCUUGACUGCGAGCGUGACGGCGCGAGCAGGUGCGAAAGCAGGUCAUAGUGAUCCGGUGGUUCUGAAUGGAAGGGCCAUCGCUCAACGGAUAAAAGGUACUCCGGGGAUAACAGGCUGAUACCGCCCAAGAGUUCAUAUCGACGGCGGUGUUUGGCACCUCGAUGUCGGCUCAUCACAUCCUGGGGCUGAAGUAGGUCCCAAGGGUAUGGCUGUUCGCCAUUUAAAGUGGUACGCGAGCUGGGUUUAGAACGUCGUGAGACAGUUCGGUCCCUAUCUGCCGUGGGCGCUGGAGAACUGAGGGGGGCUGCUCCUAGUACGAGAGGACCGGAGUGGACGCAUCACUGGUGUUCGGGUUGUCAUGCCAAUGGCACUGCCCGGUAGCUAAAUGCGGAAGAGAUAAGUGCUGAAAGCAUCUAAGCACGAAACUUGCCCCGAGAUGAGUUCUCCCUGACUCCUUGAGAGUCCUGAAGGAACGUUGAAGACGACGACGUUGAUAGGCCGGGUGUGUAAGCGCAGCGAUGCGUUGAGCUAACCGGUACUAAUGAACCGUGAGGCUUAACCUUACAACGCCGAAGGUGUUU
rnacentral:rRNA from 1 species